UACGGAGGAUGCGAGCGUUAUCCGGAUUUAUUGGGUUUAAAGGGUGCGUAGGCGGACUGUCAAGUCAGCGGUAAAAUUGAGAGGCUCAACCUCUUCCCGCCGUUGAAACUGGUGGUCUUGAGUGGAUGAGAAGUACGCGGAAUGCGUGGUGUAGCGGUGAAAUGCAUAGAUAUCACGCAGAACUCCGAUUGCGAAGGCAGCGUACCGGCAUCCAACUGAUACUGAGGCACGAAAGCGUGGGGAUCAAACAGG
rnacentral:rRNA from 1 species